UAGCUGGAACUUGAAGAAAUAGUUUUAUCAGGUAAAGCGAAUGAUUAGAAGCUCUGGGGAUGAAACAUCCUCGACUUAUUCUCAAACUUUAAAUAGGUAAGAUGAUUGCAGUACUUAAUUGACUGUCAGUCUCUUGAAUAGAAAGUUCUUAGUGGGCCAUUUUUGGUAAGCAGAACUGGCGAUGUGGGAUGAACCAAACGUAAAGUUAAAAGUGCCUAAAAGUACGUUCAUCAGACACCACAAAAGGUGUUGAUUCAUCUUGACAGUUGGACAGUGGCCAUGGAAGUCGGAAUCUGCUAAGGAGUGUGUAACAACUCACCAACCGAAUGAAUUAGCCCUGAAAAUGGAUGGCGCUUAAACGUAUUACUUAUACUUUACCAUUAAAGUAAAUGCUAAACUUUAAUGAGUAGGAGGGCGUAUGGAUAAUUUAGAAGACUGAUAGUGAUAUUAGUUGGAAUUAUCUUUAGUGCAGAUCUUGGUGGUAGUAGCAAAUAUUCAAUAGAGAACAUUGAAGACUGAAGUGGAG
rnacentral:rRNA from 1 species